rnacentral:rRNA from 1 species
CCUACGGGAGGCAGCAGUGGGGAAUAUUGGACAAUGGGGGCAACCCUGAUCCAGCCAUGCCGCGUGUGUGAAGAAGGCUUUCGGGUUGUAAAGCACUUUCAGUGAGGAGGAAGGCUCUGAAGUUAAUACCUUCAGGGAUUGACGUUACUCACAGAAGAAGCACCGGCUAACUCCGUGCCAGCAGCCGCGGUAAU